AUGGACAGAUUCCUGGGCCUGCUCAUCCUUUGGUUACAACUAGACUGGGUGAGCAGUAAACAGGACGUGAAUCAGAGUCCUGAUGCUCUGACCGUGCGAGAGGGAGAAAGCUUGGUUCUCAACUGCAGUUACACGGAUAGAGCUCCUUACUUCCUUCAGUGGUUUAGGCAAGAUCCCGGGAAAGGGCUCACAUCCCUGUUGUUAAUUCAGGCGAGUCAGAGAGAACAAACAAGUGGAAGAAUUAAAGCCUCGUGGGAUAAAUUGUCAAGACACAGUGCUUUAUACAUUGCAACUUCUCAGCCCAGCGACUUGGCCAUCUCCCUCUGUGCUAAAUUCAACCAGACAGGAAAUGUGUUGGUCUUUGGGAAAGGAACCACUGUAUCAGUAUAUUCCAAUAUCCAGAACCCCGACCCUGCCGUGUACCAGCUGAGAAGCCCCAAAUUCAGCAACACCUCCGUCUGCUUAUACACCGAUUUUGAAUCUCAAACCAAUGUGUCACAAGUCACGAGGCCCAUGCAUUUCAGCUCAGACAGCACCGUGCUAGACAUGGGAGCCAUGGGUUCCAAGAGCAACGGGGUCGUGGCUUGGGACAGCAGGACCGAUUUGGGAUGCGCAGACACCUUCAACCAGACCUUCUACUCCAACUUAGGAAUUCCCUGUGAUGCCAAGAUAGUACAGAAAAGCUUUGAAACAGAUAUGAACCUAAACUUCCAAAACUUGUCAGUGAUCGGCUUCCGCGUCCUCCUCCUGAAAGUGGUCGGGUACAACCUGCUCAUGACGCUGCGGCUGUGGUCCAGCUGAGGUCUCCAAGAACGUGAGAGCCCCGUGCUCCCUCUCCCCUUGUUCCUUGUCGCCCCUCCUCUGCCUCUUCGAGCAGAGAGGUGCACUCUCUGCCCCCGUGGACAAGAAGGCUCCCUCCACCUCUCUGGCCCCACUGGCCAAACCACCAACUGGAUCCUGCCAGAUAUUCGUGAUCAAGACGCUGAAGAGCUGCCCAGCACUGCUGCGACCCCCUCUGUUCCCUCGCUGCUGCUCGUCACUGCCUGGCAUCCUCAGCAAAGACGGAGGCCGCUGCAGCCUCUCCUGGCUGUGGGGAAACUCCCGCCCCGCUCCGCCCCUCCCCGAGACUGCCUCUGAUGUCCCACUGAAGGAUGGAUCCCAGUGGGUUCUCUUGGGCUCUAGCUCCUGGAGAAUGUUGUGUGCUGUUUAUAUUUUUUACAUAGUGUUCAUAAAGAAAUACAUA